CACGUAGGGGGCAAGCGUUGUCCGGAUUUAUUGGGCGUAAAGAGCUCGUAGGUGGCCUGUCGCGUCGGCUGUGAAAACUCGGGGCUCAACUCCGAGCUUGCAGUCGAUACGGGCAGGCUAGAGUUCGGCAGGGGAGACUGGAAUUCCUGGUGUAGCGGUGAAAUGCGCAGAUAUCAGGAGGAACACCGGUGGCGAAGGCGGGUCUCUGGGCCGAUACUGACACUGAGGAGCGAAAGCGUGGGGAGCGAACAGG
rnacentral:rRNA from 1 species